CUCAGAACGAACGCUUGCAGCGUGGAUUAGGCAUGCAAGUCGAACGGGAAGCUUCGGUUCAAUCUUCGGAGAGUUACCGAAGAAGAGAGUGGCGAAAGGGUGGGUAACGCGUGAGCAAUUUACCUUCAAGUUCGGGAUAACCUGGCGAAAGCCGAGCUAAUACCGGAUGUGGUCUCAUAUCGCAUGGUAUGAUGAUUAAAGGCGGGGGUCCUUCGGGACCUGUCGCUUGAUGAGAAGCUCGCGUCCUAUCAGCUUGUUGGUGAGGUAAUGGCUCACCAAGGCUUACGGGUAGCUGGUCUGAGAGGAUGGUCAGCCACACUGGGACUGAGACACUGCCCAGACUCCUACGGGAGGCUGCAGUCGAGGAUCAUUCGCAAUGCGCGAAAGCGUGACGAUGCGACGCUGCGUGUAGGAUGACGGCCUUCGGGUUGUAAACUACUGUCAUUAGGGAGCAACAGUUCAUGUACCAAUAGUGCAUGGAUCUGAUAGUACCUAAAGAGGAAGCCACGGCUAACUCUGUGCCAGCAGCCGCGGUAAUACAGAGGUGGCGAGCGUUGUUCGGAUUUACUGGGCGUAAAGGGUGCUUAGGUGGUUCUGUGUGUCGGGUGUGAAAUGUCGCCGCUCAACCAUGGAAUUGCAUUCGAAACUGCGUAACUUGAGUACAGGAGGGGAGAGCGGAAUUCUUGGUGUAGCGGUGAAAUGCGUUGAUAUCAAGAAGAACACCGGUGGCGAAGGCGGCUCUCUGGAAUGUUACUGACACUGAGGCACGAAAGCUGGGGGAGCAAACAGGAUUAGAUACCCUGGUAGUCCCAGCCGUAAACGGUGUGCACUUGGUGUGGGGGGAAUUGACCCCCUCCGUGCCGGAGCUAACGCGUUAAGUGCACCGCCUGGGGAGUACGGCCGCAAGGCUAAAACUCAAAGAAAUUGACGGGGGCCCGCACAAGCGGAGGAGCAUGUGGCUUAAUUCGAUGCAACGCGAAGAACCUUACCAGGGCUUGACAUGAUACUGCAAGCCACCCGAAAGCCGCCUUCGAGGGUGUAUCACAGGUGCUGCAUGGCUGUCGUCAGUUCGUGCCGUGAGGUGUUGGGUUAAGUCCCGCAACGAACGCAACCCCUGUGUUUAGUUGCCACUCCGACUUCGGUCGGAAGCACUCUAAACAGACUGCCUGUACAAGCAGGAGGAAGGUGGGGACGACGUCAAGUCAGUAUGGCCCUUACGCCCUGGGCUGCACACGUGCUACAAUGGCCGGUACAGAGGGACGCAAUACCGCGAGGUGGAGCAAAUCCCCAAAAACCUCCCCCAGUUCGGAUUGGAGUCUGCAACUCGACUCCAUGAAGUUGGAUUCGCUAGUAACGGCGCAUCAGCUACGGCGCCGUGAAUACGUUCCCGGGCCUUGUACACACCGCCCGUCACAUCAUGAAAGCCGUCUGCACCCGAAGUCGCUGAGCCAACCCGCAAGGGAGGCAGGUGCCGAAGGUGUGGGUG
rnacentral:rRNA from 1 species